CCUACGGGAGGCAGCAGUGGGGAAUAUUGGGCAAUGGGCGCAAGCCUGACCCAGCAACGCCGCGUGAAGGAAGAAGGCUUUCGGGUUGUAAACUUCUUUUCUCAGGGACGAAGCAAGUGACGGUACCUGAGGAAUAAGCCACGGCUAACUACGUGCCAGCAGCCGCGGUAAGACGUAGGUGGCAAGCGUGAUCCGGAUGUACGGGGUGUAAAGGGCGUGUAGGCGGGAAAGCAAGUCAGAUGUGAAAACCAUGGGCUCAACCUGUGGCCUGCAUUUGAAACUGUUUUUCUUGAGUGCUGGAGAGGCAGACGGAAUUCCUAGUGUAGCGGUGAAAUGCGUAGAUAUUAGGAGGAACACCAGUGGCGAAGGCGGUCUGCUGGACAGCAACUGACGCUGAGGCGCGAAAGCGUGGGGAGCAAACAGGAUUAGAUACCCUGGUAGUC
rnacentral:rRNA from 1 species